rnacentral:rRNA from 1 species
AUUGAACGCUGGCGGCAUGCCUUACACAUGCAAGUCGAACGGCAGCACGGGUGCUUGCACCUGGUGGCGAGUGGCGAACGGGUGAGUAAUACGUCGGAACAUGUCCUGUAGUGGGGGAUAGCCCGGCGAAAGCCGGAUUAAUACCGCAUACGAUCUACGGAUGAAAGCGGGGGACCUUCGGGCCUCGCGCUAUAGGGUUGGCCGAUGGCUGAUUAGCUAGUUGGUGGGGUAAAGGCCUACCAAGGCGACGAUCAGUAGCUGGUCUGAGAGGACGACCAGCCACACUGGGACUGAGACACGGCCCAGACUCCUACGGGAGGCAGCAGUGGGGAAUUUUGGACAAUGGGCGAAAGCCUGAUCCAGCAAUGCCGCGUGUGUGAAGAAGGCCUUCGGGUUGUAAAGCACUUUUGUCCGGAAAGAAAUCCUUGGCCCUAAUACGGUCGGGGGAUGACGGUACCGGAAGAAUAAGCACCGGCUAACUACGUG